CUCUCGGAAAUCGGGAUCGUGUGCGUCUCACUCCGUAUAUUUUUCGCGAGUGUUACCGUUUGAAUGUGAAUUUCGUACGCAAAAAGUCGUUCGCGAGUGCCCUGUGGGAAGAUUGUCGCGAUUGUAACGCGUUGAGUCGCACACGAGCGUUAUCGCGCGAUAAUCAACAUAAUUUCAGAACCGACGACGCGAUCGAGUCGUCAUGAUGCUCCAUCGCAUGAUCCAUUUCUGCCUCGAUUGAAUCUACGUAUCUCAACUAUCUCAAGUGCAUUAAAAUAAGAGUAGCAAACGUGUGAUCGUCAUCAGAAUCUUAGAGCAUCGCGAUUGAAUCACGAUCUGUGGAACAUGUGUCAAGGAGGGUUGCUGUCUCGUGUCAACUUUAAUCGUGGGAAGAAAGAGAAAGAGAGGAGAGGAAUGGAUGUGUGAAUGACACGAAGAAAUCUGAGAGGAGGAGGAGGAGGCCCGGGGGGCAUCCGACGACGGCGGAGCAAUGUUGAGAUCAACGUAGUUCGCGAUGCAGUUUACAACUCCGCUGCUGCGCAUCGUAUCGGU